ACGGGAGGCAGCAGUGGGGAAUUUUGGACAAUGGGGGCAACCCUGAUCCAGCAAUGCCGCGUGUGUGAAGAAGGCCUUCGGGUUGUAAAGCACUUUUGUCCGGAAAGAAAUCGCACUUACUAAUAUUAGGUGUGGAUGACGGUACCGGAAGAAUAAGGACCGGCUAACUACGUGCCAGCAGCCGCGGUAAUACGUAGGGUCCAAGCGUUAAUCGGAAUUACUGGGCGUAAAGCGUGCGCAGGCGGUUGUGCAAGACCGAUGUGAAAUCCCCGGGCUUAACCUGGGAAUUGCAUUGGUGACUGCACGGCUAGAGUGUGUCAGAGGGGGGUAGAAUUCCACGUGUAGCAGUGAAAUGCGUAGAGAUGUGGAGGAAUACCGAUGGCGAAGGCAGCCCCCUGGGAUAACACUGACGCUCAUGCACGAAAGCGUGGGGAGCAAACAGGAUUAGAUACCCUGGUA
rnacentral:rRNA from 1 species